rnacentral:rRNA from 1 species
UACGUAGGGGGCAAGCGUUGUCCGGAUUUACUGGGCGUAAAGAGCGUGUAGGCGGCCAAGCAGGUCCGUUGUGAAAACUGGAGGCUUAACCUCCAGACGUCGACGGAAACCGCGUGGCUAGAGUCCGGAAGAGGAGAGUGGAAUUCCUGGUGUAGCGGUGAAAUGCGCAGAUAUCAGGAAGAACACCAAUGCGAAGGCAGCUCUCUGGGACGGUACUGACGCUGAGACGCGAAAGCGUGGGGAGCGAACAGG